UGGCGGCAGGCCUAACACAUGCAAGUCGAGCGGUAACAUUUCUAGCUUGCUAGAAGAUGACGAGCGGCGGACGGGUGAGUAAUGCUUGGGAACAUGCCUUGAGGUGGGGGACAACAGUUGGAAACGACUGCUAAUACCGCAUAAUGUCUACGGACCAAAGGGGGCUUCGGCUCUCGCCUUUAGAUUGGCCCAAGUGGGAUUAGCUAGUUGGUGAGGUAAUGGCUCACCAAGGCAACGAUCCCUAGCUGGUUUGAGAGGAUGAUCAGCCACACUGGAACUGAGACACGGUCCAGACUCCUACGGGAGGCAGCAGUGGGGAAUAUUGCACAAUGGGCGAAAGCCUGAUGCAGCCAUGCCGCGUGUGUGAAGAAGGCCUUCGGGUUGUAAAGCACUUUCAGUCAGGAGGAAAGGGUGUGAGUUAAUACCUCACAUCUGUGACGUUACUGACAGAAGAA
rnacentral:rRNA from 1 species